AAUUCGCCCUUAGAGUUUGAUCCUGGCUCAGAUUGAACGCUAGCGGCAUGCUUAACACAUGCAAGUCGAACGGAAACGAUGGUAGCUUGCUACCAGGCGUCGAGUGGCGGACGGGUGAGUAACGCGUGAGAAUCUGCCCAGUAGCGGGGGACAACCUGGUGAAAACCAGGCUAAUACCGCAUACGCCCUACGGGGGAAAGGCUUCGGCCACUAUUGGAUGAGCUCGCGUCGGAUUAGCUAGUUGGUAGGGUAAAGGCCUACCAAGGCGACGAUCCGUAGCUGGUUUGAGAGAAUGACCAGCCACACUGGGACUGAGACACGGCCCAGACUCCUACGGGAGGCAGCAGUGGGGAAUAUUGGACAAUGGGCGCAAGCCUGAUCCAGCAAUGCCGCGUGUGUGAAGAAGGCCUUCGGGUUGUAAAGCACUUUCAGCAGGGAGGAUAAUGACGUACC
rnacentral:rRNA from 1 species